UAGGGAAUCUUCGGCAAUGGGGGGAACCCUGACCGAGCAACGCCGCGUGAGUGAAGAAGGUUUUCGGAUCGUAAAGCUCUGUUGUUAAGGAAGAACGAGUGUGAGAAUGGAAAGUUCAUACUGUGACGGUACUUAACCAGAAAGGGACGGCUAACUACGUGCCAGCAGCCGCGGUAAUACGUAGGUCCCGAGCGUUGUCCGGAUUUAUUGGGCGUAAAGCGAGCGCAGGCGGUUAGAUAAGUCUGAAGUUAAAGGCAGUGGCUCAACCAUUGUAGGCUUUGGAAACUGUUGAACUUGAGUGCAGAAGGGGAGAGUGGAAUUCCAUGUGUAGCGGUGAAAUGCGUAGAUAUAUGGAGGAACACCGGUGGCGAAAGCGGCUCUCUGGUCUGUAACUGACGCUGAGGCUCGAAAGCGUGGGGAGCGAACAGG
rnacentral:rRNA from 1 species